rnacentral:rRNA from 1 species
UACGUAGGGUGCAAGCGUUGUCCGGAAUUAUUGGGCGUAAAGAGCUCGUAGGCGGUUUGUCGCGUCUGCUGUGAAAACUCGGGGCUUAACUCCGGGCCUGCAGUGGGUACGGGCAGACUAGAGUGCGGUAGGGGAGACUGGAAUUCCUGGUGUAGCGGUGAAAUGCGCAGAUAUCAGGAGGAACACCGGUGGCGAAAGCGGGUCUCUGGGCCGUAACUGACGCUGAGGAGCGAAAGCGUGGGGAGCGAACAGG